rnacentral:lncRNA from 1 species
CCCCCCCCGGAGGAACCGCGUUCCCCAGGGAGCUUGCCGCCACGGAGGCGGUUUGCUCUUGAAACGUUGCCCUUGAGGAGCGGUACGGCCUCCAGCGAGGCAACCGGGGCUGCCAGCUUCCUUGGAGAGGUGGCGUUGGAUCACAUUGCCUGGGGCCUCGGGCCAUGUCAGGGUCCUCCGUGGGGGUCUCCAUUGAAGUCCGUCUCAGUAGCUUUGAAACGCCACGAGAUAAUAGGUCCAGAAAGGAUUUCAGCCCCACGCAGGCUGACCAAGGGAAGCAGACUUCUGCUCACUGAUUCCUCUGAAAUAGUAUGGUGUGAUGUGGGUGCUUGAACGUGAACCUCAAGGAGAGGGCCUCCAAAGACUGGUCAGGGGUUCUUCCUUACAAGCAGAGGACAGCACUGCUUAGAUGUUGUGGAGCUGAUGGCUGAAGCACGGGUGCCACCUCUGCCUCUGCUUUAACAGGGUGCUCCCCUGCUGAGGCUCUAAACACAGUGACUGCCACUUCCCACAUCACUCGCCUCCAGCUGCCCUGUGCCUGUCCUCUGCUGGCCCCACUUUGCAUGUGCUGGGGCUCUGACCUGACCCCGGAGAGCACAGAUGUCUCCUUAAUUGUUUUUCUCACCCCUUCCCUUCUUUGUCAGGUGCUGAUGACUCAGGAGAUCAUUUCGAAGAAGCUACUUUUACAACCACCACAUUGGCCCCAACCCGUCCCAAGGACGAUGGCGUGGAAGGACCUGGCCUGCCCCCUUUGCAGCACGAGCCUCGACGUCUGCGAUGAAGCAGAGUUUGCGACUUCUGGGAAAGCGCUGAAACGGUCUUUUUAUUUGUUGUUUAAUGGGUGUGAGGGAGGGGAAGGACACGGAGCGGGUCCCGGCUGCUCGCUCGUCCACGCUUGCGCCGGCGUUUGUACAAUUCUUUUGUUAAUAAUAGCUUGUGCAUAUUCUAGGUUUUCCACUUUUCUUACACGUUUUGGGGGUUGUUUUGUGAAUAAAUAAAAGCCCGUUUAAAGUGUGCUGAGAACUGGCGCGCUUGUUUCUCUAUAAACGCCUCGAAGGCGCCGCAAAGGCAAACAGAUGAGGAACGGGUGGAGCCCCAAGCCGAGAGAGGGGGGCUCAGUUAUGGCUGGGUGCUGUCGGCGCAAAGCCCUCGCGCGUCCCCGUCUCCCGGCCGGGAGCAGAGCUCGGACCCCGGUUCCAGGCCUGGUCUCCUCCG